rnacentral:rRNA from 1 species
UGGGGAAUUGUUCACAAUGGGCGCAAGCCUGAUGACGCAACGCCGCGUGGGGGAUGAAGGUCUUCGGAUCGUAAACCCCUGUCGAAUGGGACGAAAGACUCGCGAGUGAAUACUUCGCGAGAGUGACGGUACCGUUAAAGGAAGCCACGGCUAACUCUGUGCCAGCAGCCGCGGUAAUACAGAGGUGGCAAGCGUUGUUCGGAAUUACUGGGCGUAAAGGGCGCGUAGGCGGCCCUCUAAGUCAGACGUGAAAUCCCCCGGCUUAACCUGGGAACUGCGUCUGAUACUGGAGGGCUUGAGUAUGGGAGAGGGAUGUAGAAUUCCAGGUGUAGCGGUGAAAUGCGUAGAUAUCUGGAGGAAUACCGGUGGCGAAGGCGGCAUCCUGGACCAUUACUGACGCUGAGGCGCGAAAGCUAGGGGAGCAAACGGGAUUAGAUACCCCCGUAGUCCCUGAGCGGGCUGGCAAGGCGCAU